AACUGUACAGAGUGUAUGAAAACUGCACAGUUAGGAAAACGUUGCUACAUUGAUAAGCAUGCAAAUAGAUGUGCAAAAACCUUGGAAAUAGUUACGAUUUCGAUCAAAUACUGCUCAAGCCUAAUAUGAACAAUAACAUAUACAUACAGUUGAAAAAUUUAUUGUUCUAAAAACAUUUAGGAAACAUUUUUAUAAUCAUAAUUAAUUCAUUUGGAAAUAUAUACUCCACUCUGAUAUUGACUACUUAUAUUUAUUUGCAUUAAACAAUUUUUAA